rnacentral:misc_RNA from 1 species
GAAGAUACAGCGCUAGACAUCUUGGAUGCAUCAAAUGAACUUGCUCUCUUUCUGGCCAGAGCUGUGAUUGACGAUGUCUUGGCUCCUCUGAAUCUGGAGGAUAUUGCUGGCAGGUUGAUCCCAAAUUGUACUGGAAGUGAGACUGUCCGAAUGGCCCGGUCAUUAAUUGCCGCUCGUCAUGCUGGUGAAAGGCUUUUGAGAUGCUGGGGUGGUGGAACUGGCUGGGCAGUGGAGGAUGCAAAGGAUAAGAUUCAGAAGCUCUUAGAGGAGUACGAAAGCGGAGGUGUUGUGAGUGAAGCUUGCCAGUGCAUCCGUGAUCUAGGGAUGCCUUUCUUCAACCAUGAGGUUGUGAAGAAGGCAUUGGUUAUGGCCAUGGAGAAGAAUGACAGGAUUCUCGAUCUGCUGCAGGAAUGCUUCAAUGUUGGCCUGAUCACCAUCAACCAGAUGACUAAAGGCUUCUCUAGGAUCAAAGACAGCCUCGACGAUCUCGCACUUGACAUUCCAAAUGCAAGCAAGAAGUUUACAUCCUAUGUCGAGCACGCCCAGAAGAAAGGAUGGCUCUUACCAUCCUUCGGAUCAUCUGCUGCUGCAGAUUCUUCAGUGCUCUUGGCUGCAGCUUCCUGAGGCAAAAAAUGCAUGUUGUUGCUCACCGUCUCGAAGCGCCAUGCCAUGAGCGUUAUGCACCAUCUCGAAGCACCAUGAGCU